rnacentral:rRNA from 1 species
GACGAACGCUGGCGGCGUGCUUAACACAUGCAAGUCGAACGAAGUGGCGAAGGGGUGAGUAAUACGUGGGUAACCUGCCCUCCUUUUUGGGAUACGCCUUGGAAACGGGGUCUAAUAUCGAAUAAAGGGGGAUGGGCUCGCGGCCUAUCAGCUUGUUGGUGGGGUGAUGGCCUACCAAGGCGGCGACGGGUAGCCGGCCUGAGAGGUCAACCGGCUACAGUGGCACUGAGAAGCGGCCCAGGCGACGACGCGGGGCAGCAGUUGGGGAUAUUGACCAAUGGGUGACAGCCCGAUGCAGCGACGCCGCAUGAGGGAUGAGGGCUUUCGGGUUGUAUAGCUCUUUCGCUAUCGAAAGGGUAGGUGGACAAGAAGCGCCGGCUAACUACGUGCCAGCAGCCGCGGUAAUUC